rnacentral:rRNA from 1 species
GAUCCUGGCUCAGGAUGAACGCUAGCUACAGGCUUAACACAUGCAAGUCGAGGGGCAGCAUCAUCAAAGCUUGCUUUGAUGGAUGGCGACCGGCGCACGGGUGAGUAACACGUAUCCAACCUGCCGACAACACUGGGAUAGCCUUUCGAAAGAAAGAUUAAUACCGGAUGGCAUAGUUUUCCCGCAUGGGAUAUAUAANAUUCGUGUCGAGUGGGAUGCGUUCC